rnacentral:rRNA from 1 species
GCGGCGUGCCUAAUACAUGCAAGUCGAGCGAACAGACAAGGAGCUUGCUCCUUUGACGUUAGCGGCGGACGGGUGAGUAACACGUGGGUAACCUACCUAUAAGACUGGGAUAACUUCGGGAAACCGGAGCUAAUACCGGAUAAUAUUUCGAACCGCAUGGUUCGAUAGUGAAAGAUGGUUUUGCUAUCACUUAUAGAUGGACCCGCGCCGUAUUAGCUAGUUGGUAAGGUAACGGCUUACCAAGGCGACGAUACGUAGCCGACCUGAGAGGGUGAUCGGCCACACUGGAACUGAGACACGGUCCAGACUCCUACGGGAGGCAGCAGUAGGGAAUCUUCCGCAAUGGGCGAAAGCCUGACGGAGCAACGCCGCGUGAGUGAUGAAGGUCUUCGGAUCGUAAAACUCUGUUAUUAGGGAAGAACAUACGUGUAAGUAACUAUGCACGUCUUGACGGUACCUAAUCAGAAAGCCACGGCUAACUACGUGCCAGCAGCCGCGGUAAUACGUAGGUGGCAAGCGUUAUCCGGAAUUAUUGGGCGUAAAGCGCGCGUAGGCGGUUUUUUAAGUCUGAUGUGAAAGCCCACGGCUCAACCGUGGAGGGUCAUUGGAAACUGGAAAACUUGAGUGCAGAAGAGGAAAGUGGAAUUCCAUGUGUAGCGGUGAAAUGCGCAGAGAUAUGGAGGAACACCAGUGGCGAAGGCGACUUUCUGGUCUGUAACUGACGCUGAUGUGCGAAAGCGUGGGGAUCAAACAGGAUUAGAUACCCUGGUAGUCCACGCCGUAAACGAUGAGUGCUAAGUGUUAGGGGGUUUCCGCCCCUUAGUGCUGCAGCUAACGCAUUAAGCACUCCGCCUGGGGAGUACGACCGCAAGGUUGAAACUCAAAGGAAUUGACGGGGACCCGCACAAGCGGUGGAGCAUGUGGUUUAAUUCGAAGCAACGCGAAGAACCUUACCAAAUCUUGACAUCCUUUGACAACUCUAGAGAUAGAGCCUUCCCCUUCGGGGGACAAAGUGACAGGUGGUGCAUGGUUGUCGUCAGCUCGUGUCGUGAGAUGUUGGGUUAAGUCCCGCAACGAGCGCAACCCUUAAGCUUAGUUGCCAUCAUUAAGUUGGGCACUCUAAGUUGACUGCCGGUGACAAACCGGAGGAAGGUGGGGAUGACGUCAAAUCAUCAUGCCCCUUAUGAUUUGGGCUACACACGUGCUACAAUGGACAAUACAAAGGGCAGCGAAACCGCGAGGUCAAGCAAAUCCCAUAAAGUUGUUCUCAGUUCGGAUUGUAGUCUGCAACUCGACUACAUGAAGCUGGAAUCGCUAGUAAUCGUAGAUCAGCAUGCUACGGUGAAUACGUUCCCGGGUCUUGUACACACCGCCCGUCACACCACGAGAGUUUGUAACACCCGAAGCCGGUGGAGUAACCAUUUGGAGCUAGCCGUCGAAGGUG